CAGCAGCCGCGGUAAUACGUAGGUGGCAAGCGUUGUCCGGAAUUAUUGGGCGUAAAGGGCUCGCAGGCGGUCUCUUAAGUCUGAUGUGAAAGCCCCCGGCUCAACCGGGGAGGGUCAUUGGAAACUGGGAAACUUGAGUGCAGAAGAGGAGAGUGGAAUUCCACGUGUAGCGGUGAAAUGCGUAGAGAUGUGGAGGAACACCAGUGGCGAAGGCGACUCUCUGGUCUGUAACUGACGCUGAGGAGCGAAAGCGUGGGGAGCGAACAGGAUUAGAUACCCCAGUAGUCCCUGUCUCUUAUAC
rnacentral:rRNA from 1 species